CUCAUAUUUGUGUGUCAAUCUCAAUUUGGUCAUCGUAUUUUUUUUUGUCUCAAUCGGGUCCUAUUACUUGUAAAAAUGAAGCAAUUAAGUCCUCUCCGUUAAGUUUUCAUAAACGGUGUUAAAUUGUGAUGACAUGAUGUACACCUGAGAUGCUGAUGUAUGAAUGUUAUAUUUCGUGCAAUUUUUUUAGGUAAUGACAUGGCAUAAAAUUUAAUUGAAAAUGUUAGAGAUUCAAAAUCUUCAUCUCCUCCCCUCACAGGCUCAACUCAACGGUAGGUGUCUCUUCCUCCACCCACAUCACACCUCAAAUCAACUUCUUCUUCUGUCUCACCUCUCUCUUCCAUCUAUUCCAACGCUAAAAGGUGCAAUCUUUCUUUAUUUUUUCUUCUUCCAUUUCAUCUUCCAACUUUUCCAGCCCUUUCCAUUGUUUUCUAUUUUGCAAUCACACCACACUGCAACAAAAACCUGAUAUCGAAACAACAAAACCCAAUUAAAAUCGAAAAUUCACGAGACACAAAGAAACAUUGCUAUCUUUGAAGAAAAAAUUGAAAUUGGAAUUAGAAUUGAACGAUGAUUACUCCUAAGGGGAAUCAAAAGGCACAGAAAAAGAAGAAAGGAAAAUGACCCAGCGUAUGCUAGAAGCGUCUUCUCGGUUCCGCUGGUUGCCUUCUCCACUGUGACAAUAGCUGAAGAAGAAGAAUAAGAAUUCAUCAUAUUUCUUUCCCCC
rnacentral:lncRNA from 1 species